rnacentral:rRNA from 1 species
GACGAACGCUGGCGGCGUGCUUAACACAUGCAAGUCGAACGAGUGGCGAACGGGUGAGUAACACGUGGGUGACCUUCCCUGCACUUCGGGAUAAGCCUGGGUAACUGGGUCUAAUACCGGAUAGUGUGGGAUGGGCCCGCGGCCUAUCAGCUUGUUGGUGGGGUAAUGGCUACCAAGGCGCGACGGGUAGCCGGCCUGAGAGGGUGGACGGCCACAUUGGGACGGAGAAACGGCGCAGACUCCGACGGGAGGCAGCAGUGGGGAAUAUUGCAAAAUGGGCGGAAGACUGAUGCAGCGACGCCGUGUGGAUGAAGAAGGCCUUAGGGUUGUAAAGUACUUGCAGCGGGGAGGCGUUACCCGAAGAAGAAGCACAGGCUAACUACGUGCCAGCAGCCGCGGUAAUAC